GUGGCUCUGAGACGUAGCCUUCAGGCUGGGUAGUCCCCUUCUGUGUGAGCUAUCCCCCUGGGAGUCUAGAAUUCGCACACGUCUUGUUUCCACACAGAAGAAGCAAUUCAAAUUUAAGUUGGGGGUUUUAACUUAACAAUUCGCUAAUCUAUGCAUCUUGAAGGAGGACGAAGUGGAGGCUUCGCUUUGCUCUUUGUGUCUAUGUCCUCACACAUUCGCACGCACAAGCCUCAUUUGUGGAGAUGUCUUUGAAAUGUAUUCACUGGAGAUAAUUAUAGAGGUCUAACACUUCUGCUCUUCAAUUAAUGCUAUAAAAUUAAUGGUCCUUCAUUUUUACAUCCUAUGCAAAUGAUGGUGUCAUCUCCAACUGUAAGCCUCUCCGCUCACACACUGAAUAUGAUUAGUGUCCCUUUAAGCUGAAUUAGAGCAUGUGACCUUCUGGGGUAUGACAGGAGCAAAACCUCUGUGCGCUUACUUCCAAGAUUUCAUUAUGAAAUGUUCGUAAAAAGCAGAAUUUCAGAGUUGACACCAAAACAGGUUUCAGUGACUGAUUUUUCAGGGUUGUGGCCUUAGGAGAGGGCAGACAAGAACUGGAGGACAGCUCAUAAAUCUACUAUUUUCACUCAAAUGUAAGUUGUAAUAGCCUUUACAGUAUGCACACUUCCAAACAAAGGACAUACAGAUUCUGUUAAGAUAACGAGGUGGGUACGUAGGAAAUGCAGAGCGAAUCAAAUAUUACAGCCAUUAGAAUACCCUUUGCAGACAAACCCUGGGGAUGGAUGAUCCGACUGUAGGUGUGUAGCAAAAGCGGCCAACUCCAUGGCUUAGAAAGAAGGAAAUUAAGAUGUUGUGUGACUUUAAUUUCAAGGACUGAGUGCCAGGAGCUUGAGACUUCCCAGGAGCCUGUAGGCAUCUUGCUAGAAUGGUUAUAUGCACACAUGCAUUCCACGAGGUGUGUUAGGCAUUUUGGAUGAGUUGAGAAUACUGCAUACCUCAAGUGCUGUCACACUCAUCGUCAAUAUUCUCACAUGUAUAGAGAGCUUUCCUCCGACGGUGAACUAGCAGCUAGUGUUUCAGUCCUCUGGAGAUGGGCACAUUUAAGAUGGCUGGAAGCCGAGGGAAGUGACAGAGGAGUGUGGAGGAAGGGAGACAUAAAGACCCCUGGCCAGGCCCAGGAAGAUAGCACCCUCAGUAAACUGCUUGCUGCACAAACAUGAAGGCCCAAGUGCUGUUGGCAGGGUCUACAUAAAAAGCUGAGCUCACUGGUGUGGCAUGUGCCUGUAAUCCCAGUACGGGGGUGAUGGAGAGGGAAAGAGCAAGAUCUAGCCAGUCAGUAAGCCCCAGGUUCAGUUUCAGAUCCUUUCUUUAAAAAGAAGAUAAGAGAAGGGAUUGAGAAAGAGACCUGAUGUCUACUCCUGGUCUACACACUUGCAUAAGUACCAACACAUGAACAUGUCCAAACCCAUCUCUCUCUCUCUCUCUCUCUCUCUCUCUCUCUUCUCUCUCUGUCUGUCUCUGUCACUGUCUCUCUCUGUGUGUCUCUCUUUCUCUGUCUUUGUCUCUGUCUCUGUCUCUCUCUCUCACACACACACAGACACACACACACACACACAGACACACACACACACACACACACACACACACACACACACACACACACACACACACCUGUAAACAUAACCUGUUCUAGGAGAAAGACAAGGGAUCAUAAGCAGAUUCAAGAUACUGGGACCCAGAAUUGAGUCUCACAGUGAUGGAUUCUGCAGUUCCUGGCAGCGGGAUCGUUGGUAUUCUUGCACAUCUUGCUGAAACCAAGUUCAAAGAGAGCAUGUCCAGUUAGCCUUUGUGCCAUGCCAAAUUGGGUGAGGCACAAUUAUUCAGAGAAUUGGUUUGUUUGUUUGUUUCUGUUGCAAGCGAGAAUUCCUUGGCCACAGGAACUUGAGAGGUUGAGAAAAUUUGUUUUGCUAAAGGGGCGGGUUUCUGAUCUCUGAUGUAGGUUUGCAGAGGGGGUUUUGAGAGAAAUGCAUACAGGUAAAACUGGGAACUUCUAUAGUCCAGAUAUGUUUUUUCAACAAGAUGUAAAGGCCAUUUGGAAUAUGGGACAUUCUUCUCCACAACUCUGAUACUAAUUUUUAAACAGUGUCAGAUGUACCAGGCAAGCAGCGUUCACAGUGCCCUGCUCAGGCAAAGGGGAGGAGACAGACGCAGCACAGCAUGGGACGGUGCAGGGUGAGUGUGGGAGCUGGAUUGGAAGUAGGGGCUGGCCAACGUCUACUUGUAAGAACAUGGAGAAGAACUCAUUCAUCAAAACUCGUCUGAAGGCAAGCCCUGAAUAUACCAGGACGGGAAAUAUUUUAGCAAGCCAUCUGCAGGGUCGAGUGAGACCCCAGACUAAGCUAGAAAUAAUUCUAAUAAUAGACAAAAGAGGGACUGAACAGAGGGUGUGAGGAAGUGGGAUAGAGAGUGUGGGAGCCAGAGACCAGCGAGAGGUAAAAGGUUGUGACCCACAUGGAAGUCUCCAGUUCAUUUAAGUCCAUCAUUAUGUGUGUUUGUGCAUGCAUACAUGCGCAUAGGACACUUGGUGUGAAGGUCUCACACACACACACACACACACACACACACACACACACCUGUAAACAUAACAUGCUCUAGGAGAAAGACAAGGGAUUAUAAGCAGAUUCAAGAUACCGGGACCCAGAAUUGAGUCUCACAGUGAUAGAUUCUGCAGUUCCUGGCAGCCAGGAACAAAAGUCGAGGACAACUUUUGGGAGACACAUCUCUCCUUCUACUAUUCAUUUUGGGACUUGAACUCGGGUCCUCAGGUUUGUACAUCAAGUGCCUUUUUUCUACCAUCUCACUGGCUCUCCUCCUGGUACUAAAUUAAGCGACAAAGCUCGCAGAAUGCACAAUGACCAUUGUGACAGUUCGUGAAAUCCACUGAAGGAGCUGAGGUUUGUGUCCAGGUGACACGUAUGAGUCAGGCAGUUCCCAUGACCACAGGGCUAUGGAGUCCAUGAGGAAACUGAUCCUGGAAGACUCAAAGAAAGGGUGGGGUCCUUGAGCAGCAGUGGAGCUGGCUUUGAGAAGAGUUAUCUUAAAGAUGGGUGGAGGAGGCCUCUAAAACCCAGGCCAUGUGUACAUAAACUCAGUAACAGAAAUAGGGAAACUUGUCCAUUACCUCUGUGUUUUGAAUCAGAUAUGUUACCUACGAUGAGAGGAAACAUUUUAGACUCUACUACAAUGACACAGACAUGGAGAAGCUAGAGAAAAAGCUACUUUAAUUCUCUCUGUGGUAAGGCCGGCCACUCACCAGGUCAAAGUGCAGCCAUCAAGGCUAAAAUAUAUGCAAUUCCACCCAGGCUCACUCAUUAGAAGGUGAAUUUAUUUUGAUAGUUGGGACCAUUCCCAAAUAAACAACAAAUAAAACCUCAGCCUUACAGGACAAGCUAAGUAGAUGACGCUGGAAAAUACCAUUUUUCCACAACAAACAGUCUACUAACAACCAACUGCAGUAACAAUCUUGUCUAGACGCCUGCUUCAUGUACUCAAUUAUAAUUUUUUUGAGAUGGGGAAAAUCUGAAUUAAGAUUAAAAUGUGAAAUUAGCACUCAUUUUUAAGGCACGGGAAUGGCAUUCUUGUCAUAUAAGAUAGCGUUAGUGUUUUAAUAGUCUCCUAAUUAAAUAUUUAUAUUGAAGAGGACUGGAAUAACAUGACAGAGUCACUAGGAUUUGUGUUAAAAGAGAAAAAAAGGCAAAAAGAAGGAUAGCUGGAACAAGAGGCUGAGAAUCACAGUUGUUGAAUCCAGCCCAGGAAUAUAGGCAGCUAGCUAUACUAUUCUCUCCAUUGAAAGCAUGCGUGGAACAAUUAAAAAACAGUUCCGCCGAAAUAAAACUAGUUUCUUACCAUUUGCAGUUCCUGAAACAUCUCUAGGUGGAAAGCUCUCAUCUCUUGUUAAUUCUUCCUUCAAGCUAAUGCAUAGGAGACAGCCUCCAUCUGUGUACCACGGAUACAUCACCUGCUCUUUCUGACAUAUUACAGCUGCAUCAGGAAAGUGAUGGGUGUGUCUAAAGUGUGUCCUCUGUACUCAUGUUAAAGACCCAACCUUAGUGCCUCAGAAAGUGUAUCUGUAAAAAUAUAACUAAGGUGAAAGGACCUUAUGUGGGCAGCUAUGGAGCUUUGUGUUUGGGGAUAUAGAGUUUUCUGGGAAGGUGAUUAGGUUAGAUUGAGACAGUGGGUAGACAUUAGCAUAGUUGGUGUCUUUGUGAUAAAGAGAAACACCAAGGCACAAAGACAGCAACCAUAGAGACAGCUAGAGGUGACUAUCCACUGGCCAGGCACUGAGGCUUCAAAGGGGACCAGUCCCACUGGCACCUUGAUCAUGAACUUCAGCCUUCAAAGCAGAAAGAUGGAAGUUUGUAUGUUUGAACCUUUAGCCUGUGGCCCAGGCAUACUGGUCCAGGAUGGGAUGGAGGUGGGGGCCUGCAUUCAUUAGCUGCUGGAGGGCACCCCAGGCUGCUCUCCCUUUUCCCAACAAGAACUUCACUCCUUGCUAGGAUCUCCCCUCCUGUUCUCUUUGUUUCCAGAGUACAGGAGUGAAACCAUGGCUCUGGUUGUCUUGCAUCAGCCAAAUUGCUGCCUGAACCCCGGAUUGUAACUUCUCCUUCCAGAACUUACCAUAUCUCGUUCACACACAAAUUACCCCUGGGAGAUUAUAGAAAUUUAAAAAUAAAUAAAUAAACUUCUUGAGGGAUUACAAUACAAUAGUAGCCUAUAAUUCUUCUUUCAUUGCUACUGAAAGAGAAAUGGUGCCCAAUAAGUAAAGCCUUUAUUAUAUCUUAGAAGAAAGAAAGCUCUUAUUUCUGGUUCAGAGAUUCAACAUCAUGGCAUUUAUAAUUAUAUUCUGGAGUCAACAUUGUUAAAAAUUUGGGCUUUCAUGCUAAAAAGUGAUUUUUUAAAAAAAAAAUAUAUAAUUACCUACUAAUUCUUCCCAAAUGGUAUGACUUGCCUUUUUUCUCUCUUUUUUUGAAUCAUAACUCAUCUUAAACAAUCUAUUUUUUUUUCUUUUUAGAGGAAGUCUAAAAUAACACAUGGGUGUCUCGGCCUUGGCACAGCUAAACCCUGGAACAUUGAACUGAAGUCAUAACAAUGGGUAAUAUUUUAAUAUAAUGAAAAAUUAUCAUUAACUUUUCUCGACAGGAAGGAAAUGAAUUUUCCUCAUUGUACACAUUCCGAGAAAAAUGAGGCUAAGACUAUUUCAAAGGAUGUUCUACCUAAUUCGAAUGGGCUUUAAGUGCCAUCUUCACAAUAGCGCCAGAGUCUGGUGUCAGCAAACUGAACAAAUAGAGCUACAGGGAGCGAAUGGGGCUGGGUGCCUCUCCAAAACAUAUGCAGAUGAACUUGAGAUUUCAGAGGACGGUUAAUCCUACACAGCAGUCAAGUGCCUUCCCAGGGGUAUGUCUCAGAUCUCAGGUAAAUCGCUAUCUUUAUCGCAUUCCUUUCCCCCUGACUCGGAGCGAAUCUCCCAUUAAGCCUUCAUAAGCCCUUUUCAACUUAAAAUGGGACAUAGUAAUAUUAAAAAUGUGCAUUUAUUAAAUACUCUAUGAAAGUCACAAAAAUCUUCAAAAUAUUUUCCUUAGACACCUGGGACAGGAGCUGAGCUUCAGAAGCCAGGAUUCUCAAAAGUUUCCUUUGCUACAAUUUCAAUUACAGCCCCUCCCACCCCUCAGAGAGUCUGCCUGUUCCACUCUCUAGUCACCUCCCCCUCCCCCCACCCCAGUCACUAUAUUCUUUUGUUAUCAAAAGUAUAAACAGUUGUAUAAUAAGACACACAUUCCAGGGCUCCCUUCCAAACACUGGCUGCCACGUCAAACCAAAGGGGACGAGCAAUCAGACUCACCUCAAACGCCAGUUAAGAAAGCCGGCCUUACUUAAGCAAUCAAGGGCAAGUGAUCAGCCAACUCUGCUUUCUUUCCUUUCUCUUGGAUCAUUUAUAGACCUUGUGGCCGUGGCCACCACAUUGAGAAGCCCUUGGUCUCUACUUGGACUCACUAUAGCAGAGCAUCCUGGCAGGCAUCCACUGUGCCAUAUGCUUUCGGGAAGUCUGGAUGCUGAAUGUGGUGGCUGUGGGGAAUUGAGCCUUAUUGCUUCAUAAGAUUCCUGGUGGUAGAACUAUUCUGAACAAGAACACGUCCGUCCCCAUAGGUGUGCUCCAAGAAUCACAGAAUAAGAAGGGACUUCGGAGAGAGCCUCACACAGUUGGGCAAUGGGAGCCCAGAGAGGCAAGGAAGGCUCCUUGCCCAAAGUCUUGUACAUCUGAAUCUGCAACUCCUGACUAUUUUUGAGUCUUAUGCUCCAGGCUAAAACUUGUGACUUUAAGUGUGAUGUUCUCGGUGAUGAUUAAUCUAGGAUGUUUCUGUUGUUUUCUUACCGUCAAAGAAUUAACAUCAAAAGGAAAGGAAGGAAGAAAUGUAGAAGUGAAGGCAAGAAGGAAGGAAGGAGGAAAGGAAGGAAGGAAAAUAUAGGCUUUGGGUAAAAAUAAGUUUCUACUCAACACUGACAAAGGUACAGGUUUUGGACAUUGGUUUCCUAAUCUGUAAAUGAGGAAUAGUCAUCACAUCGCUGUCCUGGCUGGUUUUGUGUGUCAACUUGACACAAGCUGGAGUUAUCACAGAGAAAGGAAAGAAAAUGCCUCCAUGAGAUCUAGCUGUAAAUGGAUUAGUGAUCAAGAGUGGGAGGGCCCAGUGUGGGUGGUGCCAUCCCUGGACUGGUGGUCCUGGGUUCUACAAGAAAACAAGCUGAGCAAGCCAGGGGAAGCAAGCCAGGGGAACAUCCCUCCACGGCUCUGCAUCAGCUCCUGCUUCCUGCCCUGUGUGAGUUCCAGUCCUGACUUCCUUUGGUGACGAACAGCAAUGUGAUAGUAUAAGCUGAAUAAACCCUUUCCUCCCCAACUUGCUUCUUGGUCAUGAUUUGUGCAAGAACAUAAACCCUGACUAACACAAUCACUAUUCAUCUCUUACAGAGAAUACAUGGACCAAACAUACCAGAUACAUGGUAACUGCAAGGGUUAAAAAAAUGCCCUCCAAAAUUUCAGAGCAAGCUCUGUGUGUGAGGAGCUGUCAGUGGGUCUGAGUGAGACCUGGGUCCUUCUGGCGAAGCAUCCUGCCCUUACUGAGACUUGCUCAGCUGCCCAUAGCCCCAGAGACUGAAAUACUUCGAUUGAGACCACUUGUGUGUGGACACACAUGUGCUCAAAUCAC
rnacentral:lncRNA from 1 species